rnacentral:misc_RNA from 1 species
AUGAUUAAAGUGUUUAGCUUUUAUUUAAAUCGUAUGUCAGUCAUUUGCAAAUGUCACAGGUGUGGUAUAUGUUGCAAUUGGUUUUUAUGAUUUUGAUUUUUGUUUAAUUUCUUCUUCCCCAUCACUUUGCUACCACACAGUCUUUUGUAAAUGUCUGGCCAGUCUCUGUUGUAGGAUCAUCUAUAUACAGAGGAAGUGUCUCUUUAUUAUUUUAACAGCUGUGUACAAUAUUAUCAUGUAUAAUGUUUUUUUUUUCUUUUUCUCUUCUCUUCAUAGUAUUAUGUAUCAAAGUUGAUUACUGUCUUUGAAUUCAUUCAUUUUUACCAUGUUUGGCCAAAUAGCAAAUAAAUAAGCUAUAUUU